GUUGAAACACCAGUUCUCGUCAGAUUACAGAAGUUAAGCAACGUCAAGCCUGGUCCGUACCUAGAUGGAUCACUGCUUGGGAAUAACAAGUAUUGUAA